UUUUUUUUUUAAAGUAGUGGAACUCACCACCAUUUUCGAUGCAAUUAAUCUCUUUCACCCUUUCUUCUACAUCAAAUUUGCCAGAAAAUGCCAUGUGGCCAUGCUCUGCCCUCGAGAGUUUGGAGACGCUUGCUCAACCUCUUCAUGAACCUGCUGCACGGCUCCAUCCCAGAGUUAAUUAAAAACAUCAUAAUAAUUACAGUAGCCAUUUUAAAAUUUUCAUUAACUUGCGAGGAGACUAGAACUGCAUCCCACGCCAGUGACAGUGAGAUUAUAGCUGCAAAUAUCUUGUCUCUGUUUAUAGUGAUUUAUUAUGAUGGUAGAGACACAAGGGAUUGAAUUAAACACUGUGCAAUUCACUUUCAAUAUUCCUAUCUCAUUCCAUUCCACCUUCGCCUUCGCUAGCAUUGAAUCUAUAGCUCAAAAAUCACCAUUUCUGAUUCAUUUCUCGCUGCUUCAAUGCCGACAUUAGGAGGAACACUUAGUAUAUUAUCGGGAACAUAGGUUGAAUCGCCGAUGCCGUUGGCGAGCAUUGUUUUAGCCAUGAAACUAAGUGAGUCGUCUGAGAAUAUUCCUUGUUCCUUGGCUCGAUCCAGUAAAGUUUGUUGGCUGCAUUUUUUGCUUUCUGAAGACUUGUAACAUGAGAAAUCUACUAAGAAUAUGUGGGAUGACUCGGCCACGAAGUCCGGAUGGAGCCGUGCAGCUGGUUCAUGAAGAGGUUGAGCAAGCGUCUCCAAACUCUCGAUGGCAGAGCGUGGCCGCAGGGCAUUUUCCAUAUAGCUUGGCGAAGAAAAAAUGAUGGAAGGGGCUCAAUUGUAUCCAAAUUGGUGGUGGGUUUCACCACUUACGAAAAAAAAUACUUAACGGAGUUACACAACCAUUUGAUAGGAGAGGUUAAUUGUAUUGAAUUUCGGACAUCGCGGGCUUAAUUGAUCUAAUGUUUAGUAUAGGGGGCUGGACGUGAUAUGAGUAUCUAUGUUAGGGGUGUAAUUGAUACUUAACUCAUUUAUAAAUUAUAUAAUAUUCCUCUGUCCAUAAAAAGUAUGACACUAAUAUGACACUUUUCAUUUUAAGACAUGACCCGCCAUUUUUUCUCCAUUUUUUCUUAUCGUUUAUAUUUACAAACACUCUUUAAUAUGAAUCCACAUAUUUUAUUUUAUACUAUAAUCUUACUAACUUUAAUGAUCGUGCCGAAAUAAUUUGGAAUGAGACGGUACAAGCUUUAAGUAUCCAUAUUAAAACUAUAGAUCAGAGGGGAUAAAAUAUACUAUCUAAGACUUGCAAGUUUAUUUAUUCAUGAUUUAUAAACUCAUUUAUAUAGUAAAGAAUAAGUUGUAGUAACUCGGCCCAUAUACAACAGAUAACUUUCAUUCAUUCCAAUUACUUUAAAUUAGUAAUAACAAAAAAAGAAUUAAAGAGAAAGAAAGAUUCUUUUUUUUAUAAAUACACAAACUUGAACCAAUUUUUUAAUUGUAUAUAUCUUAAAUUUGGUAUGACAAUACAUUAAUAAUUGUUCAUCUACUUCUGAUCAUCGUUGUGUAUGCACAAAUAUCUCAAGGUUAAAUCUCCUAAAAAAGACGGUUUCUGAUGACCAUAAAUCUGAAAGGCGCUGCCAAAAUUAGUUUUAAAUCAUUCUCCAGAAUCUCCACAGCCCCAUUUCUUUCUCUCCCCGCAGAAAGCACUUCGCCUCCAGCAUCCAACUUCCCUCUCCAUUCCACACAAUUUCUUAAAUUAUUCUUUUCCAACCACAAGGCCGCCGCAACUCACAAUUACAGCAGAGCAGCACCCACCACCAUCAUCUCAUUCGUUAUACACAACAGCCAAUAUCCCUUUAAGAGACUCAUAACAGAUUGGGUGUUUGACCAUAAGAUAGUCCAAAAAUUAAUCAAAAUAUUUUGAAGUUAAAUCAUUUUUAUUAACAAAUUAUAUGAAGUUGUGAAAUUGUAAAUUAUUUUUUGAUUUUGUUGUGAAAUUGGUAAUUGAUAACUCUGAAAUCAGUGCCCCAUAAGUUGCACAACAAAUUUUAAUUGCCGGAUCAUAUUUUUGAUCCUUUAGUGAAUGACGAUUAUAUUCAGCUUCUUGGCAUUUCAUAUCCCUUACCAAUUGUGGUUUUUAUAUAAGAAAUUAAUACACAAUAUUUAAUUCAUCUUCCGGUUGACAAACAAAAUUCAGGAUGGGUUAAAACCUCAAUCUACUUCAUUCCAUAGAAUUCUGCAAACAUAUGGUUUCUAACGUACAAUUAAAAGCUUCAGCAACAGCCGAGAGGUCAAAAAUACAGCACCCACGACAAACCACAAACCACAACAAGCGAAAUACUCCAACAACCAACACCGGUAACAAAAAGUAACCGCAUAACAACUAA
rnacentral:lncRNA from 1 species